GAUGAACGCUGGCGGCGUGCCUAAUACAUGCAAGUCGAGCGAACAGACGAGGAGCUUGCUCCUCUGACGUUAGCGGCGGACGGGUGAGUAACACGUGGAUAACCUACCUAUAAGACUGGGAUAACUUCGGGAAACCGGAGCUAAUACCGGAUAAUAUAUUGAACCGCAUGGUUCAAUAGUGAAAGACGGUUUUGCUUUCACUUAUAGAUGGAUCCGCGCCGCAUUAGCUAGUUGGUAAGGUAACGGCUUACCAAGGCAACGAUGCGUAGCCGACCUGAGAGGGUGAUCGGCCACACGGGAACUGAGACACGGUCCAGACUCCUACGGGAGGCAGCAGUAGGGAAUCUUCCGCAAUGGGCGAAAGCCUGACGGAGCAACGCCGCGCGAGUGAUGAAGGUCUUCGGAUCGUAAAACUCUGUUAUUAGGGAAGAACAAAUGGGUAAGUAACUAUGCACGUCUUGACGGUACCUAAUCAGAAAGCCACGGCUAACUACGUG
rnacentral:rRNA from 1 species